ensembl:lncRNA
GGGCGAUGGUGUUAGUAGGUGGGGCAUUUGAGAGGUGCUUAGAUCGUAAGGGGGGAGCCCUCAUGAAUAUGAUUAGUGCCAUUAUAAAAGAGACCGCACAGAGGCCCUCGGCCCCUUCCAGCUGGCUACGAGAGGAUGCAACAAGAAGUCUGCAGUCAGGAAGAAGGCACUCACCCGACCGCGUUGGCACCCUGAUCUGACUUCCAGCCUCCAAAACUGUGAGAGAGAAAUUUCUGUUGUUUAUGAGCCACCUAGUCUGUGGUAUUUUGUUAUUGCAACCCAAAUGGAUUAAGAUAAAUUGAACUGAAAUUCUACCCCAAAACCUGGACUCUGGGUAAAGUGGAGAGGAUCAGCCCGUCCUGGAUGACCCUGUCCAUCUGCAUGCUGAUGAACUGUUGCUGAGCUAACAUCUAUGCCAACCUCCACUAUUUUGUAUGUGGGAUGCAGCUUCAGCAUGGCUGGAUCAGUGGCGUGUAGGCCCACACCUGGGAUCUGAACCUGCGAACCCUGGGCCACCGAAGUGAAGCGUGUGAACUUAACCACUACACCACCGGGCCAGCCCCUAUGCAGUAUUUUUUUCAAUGAGUUUUCAAAUGAAACCCAUUGCCUUUCUUUACUUUUAGAAAAAUGAAGUAUUUCAAGUCUAUAAACACCAACGUUUGCCAAAAAUGAUUCCGGACCCUUCCCUUUACAGCAUUACGUGUUAGAUAAGGUUACAAUCAGCUUGAGGCCAAAUGUGAUUUAAAAUACAUAGAAUUCCAGAGAAUGAUGAAGCAUGAAGUAAUUUGUUUUGAACUAAUAAACCAGCUUGAGCUGAAUUAUUUGUAAGAUUUUUAAAUGACCCAAAUAUGUUUUUAAAAACCCUAGAAACUAGCAUACUUGUAAGAACUUGGCACAUUCCACUUCCUAUGAUAGACAGAUAUGCAAGUGCUGGCAGUACUGAGCCCUGCAAGUUUAGCACUGACACUCUGCUUGUGGAACAUUGAUUACUGAGAUUUUUAAGUACUUAUCCAAGCUAAAUCUGGCAGCAAUGGAGUGCUUUGAAAAAUCCUAUAAGUUUUCCUAAACAUUGCUAACACGUUCAUUUCAAUCUUUUUUCAAACCCUUAAAGAUUAAAAAGUGAAUUAUAAUUUUUUAUUUUAAGAAUUAGACUUUGUGUGGAUAAAAGUAGCUAUUUCCCUUUGUCUUUCAAAAAUUAGUCUUUAAGCUUAAUACAAAUACUCGACUACAUUUGCCCAAG